UACGUAGGCAGCGAGCGUUGUUCGGAGUUACUGGGCGUAAAGGGUGUGUAGGCGGUUCUCUAAGUUUGGCGUGAAAUCUCCCGGCUCAACCGGGAGGGUGCGCCGAAAACUGGAGGGCUAGAGUGCGGGAAGGGAGAGUAGAAUUCCUGGUGUAGCGGUGAAAUGCGUAGAUAUCAGGAGGAAUACCGGUGGUGUAGACGGCUCUCUGGACCGCGACUGACGCUGAGACACGAAAGCGUGGGGAGCGAACAGG
rnacentral:rRNA from 1 species